UGGGCAGAAUUCAUGUAGACAGUCAUUGGUUUUUGCAAAUGCCUCUUAUUGGAAAUGUCUUCUGUGGGACCGGUGAAGUUCGCUGAGCUGCUUAUUCUCACCACAGGCUGACUGAGGUCAAGGUGCUGCAAAGGGAUUACUCACUCAUACGGAGCAACUUUCAACAUACAUCAGAAAUUCUCAGUUAUGGAUUAAGUUUUGGCGGCUGGCAGAUGCAAGGACAACUACUGUGGUUGUUUCAAGGAAAGACUGAUUCAGCCAAGACUCUGCAAAGAGACGACAGGCCACUCCUUCAUAUUAAAUGCUUCUGCCUGUAAUUACAGGUCAGAUCUGGCAUCCUGUACACUCCCAUUUUCCAAGGACAAAGCCUUCCCUCUCUUCAAG